rnacentral:rRNA from 1 species
GAUGAAGAACGCAGNGAAAUGCG